rnacentral:rRNA from 1 species
GACGAACGCUGGCGGCGUGCCUAAUACAUGCAAGUAGAACGCUGAAGGAGGAGCUUGCUUCUCUGGAUGAGUUGCGAACGGGUGAGUAACGCGUAGGUAACCUGCCUGGUAGUGGGGGAGAACUAUUGGAAACGAUAGCUAAUACCGCAUAAUAGCAGUUGUUGCAUGAUAACUGUUUGAAAGGUGCAAUUGCACCGCUACCAGAUGGACCUGCGUUGUAUUAGCUAGUUGGUGGGGUAACGGCUCACCAAGGCGACGAUACAUAGCCGGCCUGAGAGGGGGAUCGGCCACACUGGGACUGGGACACGGCCCAGACGCCUAAGGGAGGCAGCAGUAGGGAAUCUUCGGCAAUGGACGGAAGUCUGACCGAGCAACGCCGCGUGAGUGAAGAAGGGUUUCGGAUCGUAAAGAUCUGUUGUAAGAGAAGAAAGAGUGUGAGAGUGGAAAGUUCACACUGUGACGGUAUCUUACCAGAAAGGGACGGCUAACUACGUG